rnacentral:tRNA from 1 species
GGGCCCAUAGCUCAGUGGUGAGAGCAUCCGGCUCAUAACCGGUUGGUCCCUGGUUCGAAUCCAGGUGGGCCCACUA